GAUUUGUCUGGUUAAUUCCGUUAACGAACGAGACCUCCGCCUGCUAAAUAGUUAUGUGAUUCAUUUUGAAUGACAGGAAUACUUCUUAGAGGGACACUUGGUGUUUAACCAAGGGAAGUUGGAGGCAAUAACAGGUCUGUGAUGCCCUUAGAUGUUCUGGGCUGCACGCGCGCUACACUGACGAGUUCAACAAGUGCUCCUUCACCGAUGGGUGCGGGUAAUCUUAAAACGCUCGUCGUGCUGGGGAUAGAUGAUUGCAAUUAUUCAUCUUCAACGAGGAAUUCCUAGUAAACGCAAGUCAUCAGCU
rnacentral:rRNA from 1 species